UACUUAUUCAGCCCGUCUCUCUCCACCCCUCCUCUCUCUGUGUCCCUACUGAAAAGCCGUGAAAUUCCUGAAGGUUUACGCUUUUGUUUCGAUUGUUUUGGCGCAAGAAUUCGUGGAUUUCUUGGAGAUGCUCGGCUACUAACCAGCUAUAACAUUAGGCUACUAAAGUACAUUUGCCACUGGUUGUAACUUCAAAGCCGCGUAAACAAGCUUCCCAUAAUCUUGCAGUUCAACACCCUUCUCCCGUUACAGUGAGCGAGAAGUUGAGAUAAAGGAACGGGGAAUGAAAAAAAGUGUGGAAACUCAGGAAGAAGGAGGGGGAGAAGGAAGGAGAAUAAAGGGAAACUAGGAAGAGUUUUCGCUCAAGGAAGCGAGAGAAAGUUAUGUGGACACAAGAAUCCUCUCCCCCGUUUUGACAGCGCAAGAAGCUGUGAUUUCUACUCCCCUGGGAAAUUGAGCGGAGUGAAGUCUACCCACGCUGGCACUCUCUGCCACUGACACAAGAGAUGGAGGGAGAGAAGGAGAAAGAGAGGGAGCGGGGAGAGGAGAAAGAGAGCGACGAGACGGAGGAAGAGGAGAAACAGAGCGACGAGGCUGAAGAGGAAGAUGAUGAUGCGGAAGGAGCGGCGUUGGUGUGGCAGGAGGGGUCCUACGGAGAGGAUGACCUGGGCCUACCCAUAAUGCAUUGGGAGGCGCUGAGCCUGCGCAUCGCAGAGCUGGAGAAACAGGAAGAGGAAAAGAGAGAGAAGAAAACAAAGUCUUCCAGUGUCCUGGAACGAGGUAAGAAAUUGUCAGCAAGCCGGCCGGAGGAGAGAGAGAGAGGGAAGACGCUGUCCAUGAACCGGCCAGGAGACAGGGAGCAAGGGAAGAGUAAGGAGAGCUGGGAGGACGGAGGCGAGGAGGACUGCAAUAGCCGCGUGACAGCCCUAACUUCUCGUCUUUCGAAUCAGAUGAACCUCCAGCUGUGCUUCAUCAAUGACAGCGGAAGCGAAGAAGAGGAUGAGGAUACUGGCAAAAAAGUUAGCGUGAAGAAUUCCAAAAUGGUUGGUAAGAGCAGUCCCAGUGGGCAGGUGUGCCAGCAGCCAAAGUUCCCUGCCCCCCCUGCAGCCAAGAGCAAAUCAUCAGGCUUCAAGGCUGCGCUGAGCGCACUCAGAAACAAGCUGAGGACUGAGCAGAAACAGGAGAGCCCAGCUUGUUGUAAUCAGCUGUUGAAGAAUAGAAGACUGGACCGUAGUGACCUGCAAGCCUUCAGUCUCAAAGAGCUCAACGUCCACCAAAACUCUCUCAACAAGGCUAUACAAGACCUUAGCACAGAGCUGGUGGUUCAUCUACAGACUCGGGACCAGCUGAGGACAGAACAGGAUGCUAUGCUGCUGGAGGUAAACAGAAUUUGAAUUGUGAAGACAACAUAAGUUUUCCUGGGAAUUGGAUAAUCAGAAAUCAAACAGAGGCAACCUGAAGCAACAGUGGAAUGGGAAGAUGAGACAUAAUCUCAACUGACAC
rnacentral:lncRNA from 1 species